CUGUCCUCGCGCUUCUGCCCGGUGGACAUCGACGAAUUUGACGAGAACAAAUUUGUGGACGAGCAGGAGGCGGCGGCGGCAGCGGAGCCAGGCCCGGACCCCAGCGAGGUGGACCGGCUUCUGCGGCAAGGGGACAAGCUUCGGGCAUUCCACGCAGGCCUGCGGAGCUCUCCCGUCAACACCGAGAAUCAAGCCGGGAAGGAAAGAGCCCAGGGUGUGGCGCUGAAAGUGCUCACAAACUUGGAGAGCAGCGCGAUUGAGCUGGCUGUGCAGUCACUGGACAGAAACGGCGCUGACUUGUUAAUGAAGUACAUUUAUAAAGAAGCCCACAGAAAAGAGCAGCGCAGUGCUGCUCCAGUGGCAUGAAAAGGCCUUAGCAGUAGGAGGACGAGGCUCCAUUAUAAGAGUUCUUACAGCAAGAAAGGCUGUUUAAAAAAAUUAAAAGACUUGUGUUACCUUGAGAAGAAUUCUGGAUGCCCGGACAGGUGAAGAAGGGAUUGACAAUGGACCAUCUUCCUAGGAACUCCCAACUAAACUAUUUCAGGACAUGUAGCUGCUGAAAUGUAUUUUAUUUUCAAGGUGGAGGGGAAAAUCGUCUGUUUCCUAAAUCCUGUGCAGGAUCUGAUUGUCUAUGCCUUUGUCUCUGAGUACUGCCGAACUGACAUUUUGUCUGUGAGUGGUGGCUGGCAUUGGUCAGGCGCACCUGUGAGCACUGGGGGAGGGAUGGUUUGGGCAGGUGCAGAUCCAAGGGCUGUGGUAAAUGGGAGAGCUUGUGUUUUUGAAGUGGGAAAAACCAAGAGUUUGUACAGACAUCCUGUCUUCCAGAGAAGGAGGACGCUCUCGGGCUCACUGUAAAGUGCCUGCUGCAUCAACAAAGCUCUUGGCUUAUUAGU